UAGACAGGUGCUGCAUGGCUGUCGUCAGCUCGUGUCGUGAGAUGUUGGGUUAAGUCCCGCAACGAGCGCAACCCUUGUCAUUAGUUGCUACAUUCAGUUGGGCACUCUAAUGAGACUGCCGGUGACAAACCGGAGGAAGGUGGGGAUGACGUCAAGUCCUCAUGGCCCUUAUAGGUGGGGCUACACACGUCAUACAAUGGAUGGUACAAAGGGUCGCCAACCCGCGAGGGGGAGCCAAUCCCAUAAAGCCAUUCGUAGUCCGGAUCGCAGUCUGCAACUCGACUGCGUGAAGUCGGAAUCGCUAGUAAUCGUGGAUCAGAAUGUCACGGUGAAUACGUUCCCGGGUCUU
rnacentral:rRNA from 1 species